rnacentral:snRNA from 1 species
UUGUUUUCUUUCAUAUCAUAUAAAUCUUUCUCCUUUUAAUAAAGAUUUCCAUGAAGAAAAACAUGCAAAAAAUUUUAGGGUGCUGUUUACACAGGGU